rnacentral:rRNA from 1 species
UACGUAGGGUGCGAGCGUUAAUCGGAAUUACUGGGCGUAAAAGCGUGCGCAGGCGGUUCGUUAAGUUCGAUGUGAAAGCCCCGGGCUCAACCUGGGAACUGCAUUGGAAACUGGCGGGCUUGAGUGUGGCAGAGGGGGGUGGAAUUCCACGUGUAGCAGUGAAAUGCGUAGAGAUGUGGAGGAACACCGAUGGCGAAGGCAGCCCCCCUGGGCUAACACUGACGCUCAGGCACGAAAGCGUGGGGAGCAAACAGG